UCAAGCCUACGGGGGGCAGCAGUGAGGAAUAUUGGUCAAUGGGCUUACGCCUGAACCAGCCAAGUCGCGUGAGGGAAGACUGCCCUAUGGGUUGUAAACCUCUUUUGUCAGGGAGCAACGCCGGCUACGUGUAGCCGGACUGAGAGUACCUGAAGAAAAAGCAUCGGCUAACUCCGUGCCAGCAGCCGCGGUAAUACGGAGGAUGCGAGCGUUAUCCGGAUUUAUUGGGUUUAAAGGGUGCGUAGGCGGAAUGCCAAGUCAGAUGUGAAAAUUAUGGGCUCAACCCAUAACCUGCGUCUGAACUG
rnacentral:rRNA from 1 species